GGUACUAAAAUUAGAGGCGUGUGCCACCACGCUUGGCUUCACCCCCAAUUUAUUCUAAAUUUUGUUCUUAGUUUAGGACACGCCCAUUUCAUCCCAGCCCUGCCAAACGGCAUUCCCAGAAACCUGGAUUCAGCCUUCCCAAGGCUCCGCCCUUCAGGCGGUUCCCUGUUUUUUGCUCCCACUUUCAACCUGCCAAUCAGAGCCCGCCCCUGCUUCAGGCCACACCCUCUCCCGAAUAUCGGUGGUUGGCUCACAGCGUAACUGCAAGCCCCGCCUUCUCUGCCCGUCAGCCAAUCCACCGGUGCGGGCAAUGUGAAGCCACAUCCACCUGCCCUUGGCCUGGUUUCUCCCCCCCUACAACCGUAACCCGACCUGUCUCCGCCCGGAUCUACAGUGUCUGGACCUGGGACCAUGAGGGUCCUACUCACUCCAUUCUGGCCGCCAAUCUCUGGUUGAAAUAGCCUGGGUUUUCCUAGGCCAUGAGCACACAAGGCCACGCCCACAACGCGCCCCACAUGGACCCCGCCCCGCGUGGCUCUACCCCGCCCUCCCUUUCCGGACCCCUAGUCUCUGGACGGGCUGGGGAGACCUGGAGGUGGCUUCUGCCUGCUGUGUCACGCUCCUGCUGCCCUUCCCCCCACCAGGUGGCCGCCUUGCAGCUGAUGGCAACGCCGGAGCUGGCGGGACAGGAGGACGGCGCACGGAUGCACCAGCUGAAACUCAAAAACUCGCGGGGCAUUGCUGGGACACAGCUGCCCCCUUUGGCCCGUGUCAGCCCUGCACAUAUGGUUGAACCUGGAGCUCGGAUUCGGGACCUGCCAAGCUGGCACUGUUAACUUCCCGUGGCCUGCACACUUCCACUCGCCGAGAUGGCCUUUCCCACCCCCAAGCUGACCCACAGCCACCCCACCUGGCACCGUCCCCAGGGCUGCCUGGGGCUGUAGCAGGGGGCAAGCAGGAGGGCCUGGGGCUUGCCACAGCCCCCACGGAGCUAACUGCGCAGCGGCAGCUAAUUCACCCCAUCUGGGUUUUAUUUAUAGUUCCCAUUCGCUCUCGUAGGGUAAUUAAAACCAUGGAGGCGAUCAGCGAGGUUCUCCAGGACCUUAGGUUUGAUGCGGAAUCUGCAGAGUGAUGGCGGCUCCCGGGGGACACCCGAGAGAGCUGGGAAAUGAGGCCAGGGGCAUGGAGCCCAGCCCUGACCACCAGCUGGCCCAGGUGGUGGCCCCUGGGACCAGGACUCCUCCACUGCGGUACCACCCACAAUAAAGAACCCUGCGCCUGCA